rnacentral:rRNA from 1 species
AACUUUCAACAACGGAUCUCUUGGUUCUCGCAUCGAUGAAGAACGCAGCGAAAUGCGAUACGUAGUAUGACUUGCAGACGUGAAUCAUCGAAUCUUUGAACGCACAUUGCGCCUUGGGGUAUUCCCCAAGGCAUGCCUGUUUGAGCGUGAUGUCUUC